GUCGAACGCUGGCGGCGUGCUUAACACAUGCAAGUCGAACGAUGAAGCCGGAGCUUGCUCUGGUGAAUUAGUGGCGAACGGGUGAGUAACACGUGAGUAACCUGCCCUUGACUCUGGGAUAACUGCUAGAAAUGGUAGCUAAUACCGGAUACGACCCUCGGAGGCAUCUCCAGGGGGUGGAAAGAAUUUCGGUCAAGGAUGGACUCGCGGCCUAUCAGCUAGUUGGUGAGGUAACGGCUCACCAAGGCGACGACGGGUAGCCGGCCUGAGAGGGGGAACGGCCACACUGGGACUGAGACACGGCCCAGACUCCUACGGGAGGCAGCAGUGGGGAAUAUUGCACAAUGGGCGCAAGCCUGAUGCAGCAACGCCGCGUGAGGGAUGACGGCCUUCGGGUUGUAAACCUCUUUUAGUAGGGAAGAAGCGAAAGUGACGGUACCUGCAGAAAAAGCACCGGCUAACUACGUGCCAGCCGCCGCUGUAA
rnacentral:rRNA from 1 species